GGAUGCGAUCAUACCAGCACUAAAGCACCGGAUCCCAUCAGAACUCUGAAGUUAAGCGUGCUUGGGCCAGAGUAGUACUAGGAUAGGUGACCUCCUAGGAAGUCCUCGUGUUGCAUUCC
rnacentral:rRNA from 1 species